rnacentral:lncRNA from 7 species
AUGGAGAUGGAGAUGUUCAGAGUGGAGGAGCUGUUGGCUCGCUGCAGCCACCCCAGCAUCCCCGGAGCUCCCUGCUGGCCCCGGAGGAGUCCGAGUGCUCUGUGCUGGAAGAAGAGGAGUCGAGGCUGCUGGAGACAUCAGGGCUCAGUGGCUCGUGGCAGUGAUGCGCUGCAUCAGCUCUUGCGUUUGGCAGCUGUUUGCAAUGGCUUUGGUCCCCUCUCUUGUGACACCGGGCAGGUCCUGCUUGUGCUGGGGACCUCCAGAGCCGCUUCUGAAAAAGCAAGAACAUCCCCCCGAACGAUGAUGGCAGCCUUCCCACAGCCACUCGGUGCAGGCAGCCACCUCUGGGGUCACCUCUGCGGAGCACAGUCUCACCGUCAAUCCAGUUCCAAGCAGGUGGACUCUCAGUGUCUUGCAAGUGACAGCUAGCAGCAGCAGGUCCAGCCAGGAGGCACAGCACCCUGCAACCUCCAGGUGAGUGACAGCAGGCAGGCAGGCUUUUGGGCUCUGCAGGGUCAUUGUGUGGAGCAUUAUGCACAGGAACAGCUGAGUGUAAAGAUGAUGUCCGAGCUGCAGAGCUAAGCAUAACGGAGAGGCCCAGCGGCUCAGCUCAUUUCCCAGCGUGAGGCAGGAAAUAAGAGCCACGAGGGAUAUGCAGACGCUUUCUGCUUUUGUCUGUUGCCUCACUCCUUCUGCCCCUGUCAGAGGGGAGGAACGAGCUGCACUUGCACAGAGACAUUGCUCUCACGGCCACUCCCCCCUCAGGUUGGAGCAUUCCUGGCUGCAGGAUGGGCAAACCGAAGUUCUUGCCUGAUUGGGUCUGUGAAGCUUAAAAAGGGAGACAAACUAUGGCCUCUUGGCUCAUGAAGUGAGAGAGGGGAUGCUGUGCUAUUGGGCUGCAGUCAAGAGUCUGAGAGAGUCUGUGUUAUGUGAGAUUUGAGAGACAGUUCUGGGGAGUGUGGGAGCAGUGCAAACGUGCAAGGGUGCUUUUCCUUUCAGGGGCCUUUGUGCACAGCAGAUGUUGAUGCCCUAGAAGCACGGUGCGGAGCACAUCCUGGGAUCAAGGUGCCACGGACUGGAAAAUGCUGCUGUGGCGGAGUUCCUGUGUGAAGACAAAACUCCCAGUCGCCCAGAAAUGUGGAGGCAGAAGAGCAGUGACAAGGUAUCUACAUGUCUAUCUGUGUAUGUGCACAGCAGGCCCAGCUGCCCCUGCUUCCUCCCUCCACGGGAUCUGCUCCUGCUGCUGCUGCUGCUGGAGUCUCCUCUGGCCACGGUGGCGUGGGGCGAGUUCUUUGUCAAACAGGAUCUACCGUUGUCAACCCUUGUGACUGGGCCUGAUCCCCUGGUUGACCUUUAAUUAAUCCCAACAUUAUCCAUCCCAUAACCUACCCUGGCACGAGGUAAGGUGCAGUCCAUCUGGCCCCGUGGACUCGGG